rnacentral:rRNA from 1 species
GAUGAACGCUGACAGAAUGCUUAACACAUGCAAGUCUACCAAGAAUCACUUCGGUGAGGAAUGGUGGCGGACGGGUGAGUAACGCGUAAAUAAUCUGCCCUUUAGACUGGGAUAUCCUUUGGAAACGAAGGUUAAUACCGGAUAUUAUGAGAUGGACGCAUGUUCAACUUAUGAAAGCUAAAUGCACUAGAGGAGGAGUUUGCGUCCCAUUAGCUAGUUGGUGAGGUAAAGGCUCACCAAGGCCACGAUGGGUAGCCGGCCUGAGAGGGUGAACGGCCACAAGGGAACUGAGACACGGUCCUUACUCCUACGGGAGGCAGCAGUGGGGAAUAUUGGACAAUGGACCAAAAGUCUGAUCCGGCAAUUCUGUGUGCUCGAUGAAGGUCUUCGGAUUGUAAAGUGCUUUCAGUAGGGAAGAAAAGAAUGACGGUACCUACAGAAGAAGCGACGGCUAAAUAUGUGCCAGCAGCCGCGGUAAGAC